rnacentral:rRNA from 1 species
UGACCGCUGGCGGCGUGCCUCAUACAUGCAAGUCGAGCGAACAGAUGAGGAGCUUGCUCCUCUGACGUUAGCGGCGGACGGGUGAGUAACACGUGGAUAACCUACCUAUAAGACUGGGAUAACUUCGGGAAACCGGAGCUAAUACCGGAUAAUAUAUUGAACCGCAUGGUUCAAUAGUGAAAGACGGUUUUGCUGUCACUUAUAGAUGGAUCCGCGCCGCAUUAGCUAGUUGGUAAGGUAACGGCUUACCAAGGCAACGAUGCGUAGCCGACCUGAGAGGGUGAUCGGCCACACUGGAACUGAGACACGGUCCAGACUCCUACGGGAGGCAGCAGUAGGGAAUCUUCCGCAAUGGGCGAAAGCCUGACGGAGCAACGCCGCGUGAGUGAUGAAGGUCUUCGGAUCGUAAAACUCUGUUAUUAGGGAAGAACAAAUGUGUAAGUAACUAUGCACGUCUUGACGGUACCUAAUCAGAAAGCCACGGCUAACUACGUG